rnacentral:rRNA from 1 species
UACGGAAGGUCCGGGCGUUAUCCGGAUUUAUUGGGUUUAAAGGGAGCGUAGGCCGGAGAUUAAGCGUGUUGUGAAAUGUAGACGCUCAACGUCUGCACUGCAGCGCGAACUGGUUUCCUUGAGUACGCACAAAAUGGGCGGAAUUCGUGGUGUAGCGGUGAAAUGCUUAGAUAUCACGAAGAACUCCGAUUGCGAAGGCAGCUCACUGGAGCGCAACUGACGCUGAAGCUCGAAAGUGCGGGUAUCGAACAGG